rnacentral:rRNA from 1 species
GUUGAACGCUGGCGGCGUGCCUAAUACAUGCAAGUCGAGCGAACGGACGAGAAGCUUGCUUCUCUGAUGUUAGCGGCGGAUGGGUGAGUCAUACGUGGAUAACCUACCUAUGAGACUGGGAUAACUUCGGGAAACCGGAGCUAAUACCGGAUAAUAUUUUGAACCGCAUGGUUCAAAAGUGAAAGACGGUCUUGCUGUCCCUUAUAGAUGGUUCCGCGCUGCAUUAGCUAGUUGGUAAGGUAACGGCUUACCAAGGCGACGAUGCAUAGCCGACCUGAGAGGGUGAUCGGCCACACUGGAACUGAGACACGGUCCAGACUCCUACGGGAGGCAGCAGUAGGGAAUCUUGCGCAAUGGGCGAAAGCCUGACGGAGCAACGCCGCGUGAGUGAUGAAGGUCUUCGGAUCGUAAAACGCUGUUAUUAGGGAAGAACAGAUGUGGAAGUAACUGUGCACAUCUUGACGGUACCGAAUCAGAAAGCCACGGCUAACUACGUG